rnacentral:misc_RNA from 1 species
AAAUUGUAGAUUUACAUUUAAAAGAGCUUUGUUCAUCACAUUCAACCCUUGCCGUAAAUACUAAUUUUAAUUUGAAGCAAGAACAAGUCGAUGGCUUUUCUAUAUUUUCCUAUCAUCACUCUUUUUGGGUUUUAGUGAUAGAAAGGAAAUGAGGAUGGGAUGGGGGCUUCUUGAAGAAAGAGAAAAAAAAUGGAAAGUUCAACAAAUAAUAAUAAGAAGAAAAAUGUGACACACCGAGGUUCGAAGGGAAAGAAAGAGGGUCGGAGUGGGAGUUCUAAGAUGAUAAAUAGUAUCGCGAUGGGGUUUCAAAGAAGGAGAAAGAGGUUUGGGUACAAGUGGUUGUCGACGGCGGGAGGGGUGGAUUGGGUGUGAGAAAGAUGAAGGGGCUGG